UCUCUUUGCCAACAUCACCCUUUGGAUUCUAGAUACUUUUAUGACUCACAGCUGGAUCACGCAAGGAGUCCAGCUUCAGUUUUACGGACUUCUGGCUUGGGGUAUCAUUUCCCGGAUCAGUAUACCUCUACUUGUUUUCUACCGGUUCCAUUCUUGCGUGGUUCUGGUGGAAAUUUGGAAGAACACUUACCGCACCAAGGAGUCCUUCUGAGGCUUGUGUGGACCUACAGCUAGCCAACUGCUCGCCUGCAUUCCUUGUUUGUGUCAUGAAAACAGUCGCCAUUCCCGUCGCCUAGUAGCUCAAAAGAGCCCUUCCUCUUCCAACGAAUUUAUUUACACCGAACCCGCC